UGUACCAUGACAGAUCAUCAAUAAAGAUAAUGAAGUAGCUAUAACUACCUUUAAUCUGCACAUCAAAUGGCCCAUACCCUACCCAGACAAGUAACUCAGUGAUCCUUUCUCCAUAUCCUACAAAGGGUAACUUAGCUUCCUCGAAGGCAAGGUUUACAAGUUGGAUAUGACUCUGAAUCAAAAGAGUCAAGGAUCCCAUCUUUUUUCAGUUUGUUUAUUCUGUCCUCUCCAAUAUGAUCCAGUUUAUGAUGCCACA
rnacentral:lncRNA from 1 species